CUCACAACGGAGCGUUUGAAAGCUCGUAUCUUUAGACAUUUAAACGCUAGUGCUCGGAGUGCAGGGGAUGGGGGGCCGCGGUGUGGGGAAGGUGAAACUUCGGGUGUCGUCGUCACCUCUGGAAGUGUCAGAAAACCGAGUUAAGGUCUCACCAGCAGGAUCUACUGUUCCUUCCCAGAUUCUGCAGAGGUGUUAAUUAUCAGAGGGCCGGUGGUGAGGAGCGGUGGGCCUCUCGGCAGACCGGCAGGAAUGUGGACCAUAUGUAGCAGGCAUCCCAAGAAUGUAACUCGGCCUCGCUGAACUGACCAACCUAAAGACACAGAUAGGGAGGAGGAAAGGGGAUGAAAUUGAAGGCAGAGCAAGGACGAAAAGAGAUCACGGAGGGAUGGAGGGAAAUGAAAGCGCGGAUUGGUAUAUAAAGAGGGCUCAACAAAGUGCAUGGGAAAUGAGUGUGGGGAAGAUGGGAGGGUGGAGAUGUGAUAGAAAAGGGAAAUGGACAAGCUUAAAAGCAGGAAAGUAGAUACAUAUUCCAUAAUUGUAAAUUUUACUUGACUGGUGUUAUAAUUGUAACUACACUUUUCUAUUGAUGUAUUUUACUGUUGUUCUACUUUUCAUCAUGUCUGACAGAAUAUGAAUUGGCAAAAACUCUGAAAAUCAAAGUAUUUUAUUUUAUCAUUAUAUCAUUUGAAAGAAGUUAUCUUUGAAAUGAUAAAUGUGAAAUCCAAAAUAUUUACCAGGCAACCAGGGAGCUGAAAAUUGCAUGGGAAAAUAUGUCUGCAAGUAACUUAAAAUAAAAACAAUUUAGUGUUGAGUUGCUAAGUAAAUGUGUCAGUACAGGGUAGUCAUUGAGUAACCAUUAGUACAGGCUUCAUUCAAUCCUGUAAACUGUUGGAUGCUAACUUCAUGUCAUAUCUAAUGUAUUCAGUACAUAGCCACAAUGAUAUAGAGGAUAUUUAAUAGGCUGCGUCUUACGUGGAUUAAAGAGCAUGUGCAUCCAGAAAUUUGGUUCAUGAGCUAAACGUUGUCGAGG